UGCCACAGCCAUGUCACCCUGCAGCCCAAGACCGGUGACUCACUGAAGCUAAGCAGGGCUGAUCAGUACCUGGAUGGGAGACCACUAGGGAACACUAGGUUGCUGUUGGAA
rnacentral:rRNA from 1 species